rnacentral:rRNA from 1 species
AUUGAACGCUGGCGGCAUGCUUUACACAUGCAAGUCGCACGGCAGCACGGGGGCAACCCUGGUGGCGAGUGGCGAACGGGUGAGUAACACAUCGGAACGUGUCCAGUUGUGGGGGAUAACCCAUCGAAAGGUGGGCUAAUACCGCAUGAGCUGGCAACAGGAAAGCGGGGGACCCGCAAGGGCCUUGUGCGAUUGGAGCGGCCGAUGUCCGAUUAGCUAGUUGGUGGGGAAAGGCCUACCAAGGCUUCGAUCGGUAGCUGGUCUGAGAGGAUGAUCAGCCACACUGGGACUGAGACACGGCCCAGACUCCUACGGGAGGCAGCAGUGGGGAAUUUUGGACAAUGGGGGCAACCCUGAUCCAGCCAUGCCGCGUGAGUGAAGAAGGCCUGGUGUAA